rnacentral:snRNA from 1 species
GUCCGUUCGGGGACAUCCGAUAAAAUUGGAACGAUACAGAGAAGAUUAGCAUGGCCCCAGAGCAAGGAUGACACGCACAAAUCGAGAAAUGGUUCAAAUUUCU